rnacentral:SRP_RNA from 1 species
GCCGGGCGCGGUGGCGCGCGCCUGUAGUCCCAGCUACUCGGGAGGCUGAGGCAGGAGGAUCGCUUGAGCCCAGGAGUUCUGGGAUCGCUUGAGCCCAGGAGUUCUGGGCUGUAGUGCGCUAUGCCGAUCGGGUGUCCGCACUAAGUUCGGCAUCAAUAUGGUGACCUCCCGGGAGCGGGGGACCACCAGGUUGCCUAAGGAGGGGUGAACCGGCCCAGGUCGGAAACGGAGCAGGUCAGAAAGCUUAGACAGCUAUAGGUUCCCAUAAUGGAAGUAAAUGCAGAAGUUACUUUCACAAAUGUCUCCACAGUUUUA